rnacentral:rRNA from 1 species
CUGGUGUACGGAUUGUGGCCACCUGCUGCAUUGUCCGGUAGCUAUGUGCGGACCAGAUAAGCGCUGAAAGCAUAUUAAGCGCGAAACUGACCUCAAGAUGAGAUUUCCCUAUGAGGGCCGUGAAAGACGAUCACGUUGAUAGGUGCAAGGUGGAAGUGCAGUAAUGCAUGGAGCCGAAGCAUACUAAUCGCCCCAUUGCCUUUUUAUG